rnacentral:rRNA from 1 species
UACGUAGGGGGCAAGCGUUAUCCGGAUUUACUGGGUGUAAAGGGGGCGCAGACGGCGAUGCAAGCCAGGAGUGAAAGCCCGGGGCCCAACCCCGGGACUGCUCUUGGAGCUGCGUGGCUGGAGUGCAGGAGGGGCAGGCGGAAUUCCUGGUGUAGCGGUGAAAUGCGUAGAUAUAUGGAGGAACACCGGUGGCGAAAGCGGCUCUCUGGCCUGUAACUGACACUGAGGCUCGAAAGCGUGGGGAGCAAACAGG